CACGACCUCACAAAUAACCAAUUAGAAGGGCAGGGUUGAAGGGGACCGUGAAUUUGCAAACAUGUAGAGGAGGCCAUUAAAGAUGCCUGUGGCUCCCCCAGCCCUGGCAGCAUCGAUCUGAGACCUUAAUUUUAUUUCUGACAGGAAAGCAAGGAGCACGCUGUUCCUGCGCUUCCCCAGUGGUCAGGGACCCACACAGAGCCCACAGUGCC
rnacentral:lncRNA from 1 species